UGCCAGCCGCCGCGGUAAUACAGAGGUGGCAAGUGUUGUUCGGUAUCACUGGGCUUAAGGGGCGCGUAGGCGGCGCAGAACGGUCCGGGUGAAAUCCCACGGCUUAACCGUGGAAUGGCCUGGGCUACGGCUGUGCUAGACAGCAUCAGGGGAAGGUGGAACUCCGGGUGGAGCGGUGAAAUGCGUAGAUAUCCGGAGGAACGCCGGUGGCGAAAGCGCAUCACUGGGUCUUUUCUGACGCUGAGGCACGAAAGCUAGGGUAGCGAACGGGAUUAGAUA
rnacentral:rRNA from 1 species